CUUACCCUAGCCUCUUCCUUUUAGGCA
rnacentral:piRNA from 1 species